rnacentral:rRNA from 1 species
AUACGUAGGGGGCGAGCGUUAUCCGGAAUUAUUGGGCGUAAAGAGUGCGUAGGUGGUUUUUUAAGCGCAGGGUUUAAGGCUACAGCUUAACUGUAGUUCGCCCUGCGAACUGAAAGACUUGAGUGCAGGAGGGGAAAGCGGAAUUCCUAGUGUAGCGGUGAAAUGCGUAGAUAUUAGGAGGAACACCAGUGGCGAAGGCGGCUUUCUGGACUGAAACUGACACUGAGGCACGAAAGCGUGGGGAGCAAACAGGAUUAGAUACCCUGGUAGUCCACGCCGUAAACGAUGAGCACUAGGUGUCGGGGGGAAGAACCCUCGGUGCCGCAGUUAACGCAAUAAGUGCUCCGCCUGGGGAGUACGCACGCAAGUGUAAAACUCAAAUGAAUUGACGGGG